ACUCCUACGGGAGGCAGCAGUAGGGAAUCUUCGGCAAUGGACGAAAGUCUGACCGAGCAACGCCGCGUGAGUGAUGAAGGCUUUCGGGUCGUAAAACUCUGUUGUUAGGGAAGAACACGCAUCGGAGGAAAUGCCGAUGCAUUGACGGUACCUAACCAGAAAGCCACGGCUAACUACGUGCCAGCAGCCGCGGUAAU
rnacentral:rRNA from 1 species